GUACGUCAAGAGGAAGACGAAGAGGGGGAAAGAAAGGUUGAAGAGUAUCGUGAAAUUGGCAUGAGAUUGAAGGGUUAUCCGGAAGAAGAUGUUCGGAAAGCUCGGAAAAGAAAAUUGAGGAAGAUGCUGAGAAAGGAGAAUUGAUUGAACUUGCUUUGAUGGUCAUAUGGAAUCGUCUUGACCUCGCUCGACGUGAUGAAGAAAAGGAUGUUAUUA